GACGAACGCUGGCGGCGUGCUUAAUACAUGCAAGUCGAGCGAGGUUACUGUUUCGGAUCCCUUCGGGGUGAAGAAGCUUUAACCUAGCGGCGGACGGGUGAGUAACGCGUGGGUAACCUACCCCAAAGUCCGGGAUAACAGCGGGAAACCGCUGCUAAUACCGGAUGUCUUUACCUUGGGGCAUCUUGAGGUAAAGAAAGGUAACGCUUUGGGAUGGGCCCGCGUCCCAUUAGCUAGUUGGUGAGGUAACGGCUCACCAAGGCGACGAUGGGUAGCCGGCCUGAGAGGGUGGACGGCCACACUGGGACUGAGACACGGCCCAGACUCCUACGGGAGGCAGCAGUAGGGAAUAUUGCGCAAUGGACGGAAGUCUGACGCAGCGACGCCGCGUGAGCGAUGAAGGUCUUCGGAUCGUAAAGCUCUGUCCUUGGGGAAGAAGGCGAAAGCUUGACGGUACCCAAGAAGAAAGCCCCGGCUAACUACGUG
rnacentral:rRNA from 1 species